rnacentral:lncRNA from 1 species
UCUGAGGUAUGACGCUUGGCCGCUGUAUGGCCCUGAGCGUCGGUGUUUAGAAAAUUAAGGGUAAAGAGUGCCAUGGAUAUUGUAACUCUUGGCACCGAGGGUAAGGAUGCUCCCAUUCCCUCCUUUUGUUUGAUUAAAUAAGACUUAAGUGUGCGAUGGGCACGUUCCAUAAUGCCUUGUAUAAGGUAGGCCAGUUAGAUGGGUAAUUUCCAUCUGUAGAAGUGCUGGAACUUUUGAGAGGUAUAAGCCGGCCCAUUAUCUGUUUUUAAGAAGCACAUAGGUGGCUAGGUAAAGUCUUAUUUCUGUAAUACAGCUGAACUUCCUUAAACAGUAGCUUAACUUCUUUCUGAGGCAGGGUUUUUCUCUGACUUUGGAGCCUGUCCUGGAAUUCGAUCUGCCGGACCAGGCAGGCCUUGAACUCAUAAAGAUCCAUCUGUCUCUUACUCCCGAGUGCUGGGAUUAAAGGCGUAUGCCGCCAACGCCCUCAACUUAAAGGCGUGUGUCACCAACACCCUGAGCUUAAAGGUGUGUGCUACCAACAUAAUAGAUUAGCAUCUUUUACAAAACAAGAACUUUACAUUGUCAGGCUUUGCUUAAAAAUUCUAAAUUGAAGCUCUUUAAGUAUAAACAUUAAUAAAAUCAAACAUUUGAAAAACUGGUUUUAAAAAGAAAUUUAAAUUCCCUUAAGGUCUUUCUGUAAUAUAUAGAAGCAUUAACAUUUUAAAUCUUAACUGAAAAACUUGUUUCUAAGAUGGUACCUCUGAUUUCCAUGUGGUCACCUUUAGUCAAGAUGGCGGUUUAAGUAUCCUUUUUUUAACUUUAGCAAAAUGGCUACCGUCAGUCAUGUGACCAGCUACAAAAUGGCCGUACCAGGAAAUAGAACAUUUUAAAACAAGCAUACAUAAAUUACUUGAGCAACUUUAGGAUAUGAGGCUUUUUCCAGGCAUCCCAGGCCUCCAAGCAGUGUUGAAUAACAUGCACGGCCUUUUCCCCUAUCAAAGACUGGGAAAGCCAUCUGUAAUUUUUUCCGCUCCUUUGAUGGUAAAAAGGAGUCGGUACCAAAUAGUGGGGGUGCUGAUGGAAGCACACCCGCUGGCAUUUUUGGCAGCCGAUAUCUAUCGGGGUGGUAUCGUGCUGCUUCUUUCUCUAGCUCUGCUUCCUUGCUAGAGACUCGAAACCUAGCCUCUGCCCUGCAACGAAACUGGAAGCCUUGGAGCUGAGCAGCUCAGACUCUGAGAUUUUAGACUCUAGCAAGGAAGCAGAGCUAGAGAAAGAAGCAGCACGAUACCACCCCGAUAGAUAUCGGCUGCCAAAAAUGCCAGCGGGUGUGCUUCCAUCAGCACCCCCACUAUUUGGUACCGAC